AGAGUUUGAUCCUGGCUCAGGAUGAACGCUAGCGACAGGCUUAACACAUGCAAGUCGAGGGGCAGCACAGGUAGCAAUACCGGGUGGCGACCGGCGCACGGGUGAGUAACGCGUAUGCAACUUACCUAUCAGAGGGGGAUAACCCGGCGAAAGUCGGACUAAUACCGCAUGAAGCAGGGGCCCCGCAUGGGGAUAUUUGCUAAAGAUUCAUCGCUGAUAGAUAGGCAUGCGUUCCAUUAGGCAGUUGGCGGGGUAACGGCCCACCAAACCGACGAUGGAUAGGGGUUCUGAGAGGAAGGUCCCCCACAUUGGUACUGAGACACGGACCAAACUCCUACGGGAGGCAGCAGUGAGGAAUAUUGGUCAAUGGGCGUAAGCCUGAACCAGCCAAGUCGCGUGAGGGAUGAAGGUUCUAUGGAUCGUAAACCUCUUUUAUAAGGGAAUAAAGUGCGGGACGUGUCCCGUUUUGUAUGUACCUUAUGAAUAAGGAUCGGCUAACUCCGUGCCAGCAGCCGCGGUAAUACGGAGGAUCCGAGCGUUAUCCGGAUUUAUUGGGUUUAAAGGGUGCGUAGGCGGCCUUUUAAGUCAGCGGUGAAAGUCUGUGGCUCAACCAUAGAAUUGCCGUUGAAACUGGGGGGCUUGAGUAUGUUUGAGGCAGGCGGAAUGCGUGGUGUAGCGGUGAAAUGCAUAGAUAUCACGCAGAACCCCGAUUGCGAAGGCAGCCUGCCAAGCCAUUACUGACGCUGAUGCACGAAAGCGUGGGGAUCAAACAGGAUUAGAUACCCUGGUAGUCCACGCAGUAAACGAUGAUCACUAGCUGUUUGCGAUACACUGUAAGCGGCACAGCGAAAGCGUUAAGUGAUCCACCUGGGGAGUACGCCGGCAACGGUGAAACUCAAAGGAAUUGACGGGGGCCCGCACAAGCGGAGGAACAUGUGGUUUAAUUCGAUGAUACGCGAGGAACCUUACCCGGGUUUGAACGCAUUUUGACAGCUCUGGAAACAGAGCCUCUAGCAAUAGCGAUUUGCGAGGUGCUGCAUGGUUGUCGUCAGCUCGUGCCGUGAGGUGUCGGCUUAAGUGCCAUAACGAGCGCAACCCUUGCCACUAGUUACUAACAGGUAAAGCUGAGGACUCUGGUGGGACUGCCAGCGUAAGCUGCGAGGAAGGCGGGGAUGACGUCAAAUCAGCACGGCCCUUACAUCCGGGGCGACACACGUGUUACAAUGGCGUGGACAAAGGGAAGCCACCUGGCGACAGGGAGCGAAUCCCCAAACCACGUCUCAGUUCGGAUCGGAGUCUGCAACCCGACUCCGUGAAGCUGGAUUCGCUAGUAAUCGCGCAUCAGCCAUGGCGCGGU
rnacentral:rRNA from 1 species